rfam:Triticum urartu cultivar G1812 contig1003033, whole genome shotgun sequence.
AUGGUACUCCCUCCAUCCGAAAAUACUUGUCAUCAAAAUGGAUAAAAAGGGAUGUAUCUAGAACUAAAAUACAUCUAGAUACAUCUUCUUUUAUUCAUUUUGAUGACAAGUAUUUCCGGACGGAGGGAGUACAUG